GAACAGGCUUGAAAAUCCCAGUUGAUCCAGUCCCACCUGCAGAUUGCCUGGUUUCCCCCCCAGGAGCUGGCAGUUAGCUGACAGGACUCAGCAUUGUGUCCUACACAAUAGGAAAUCAUGGGGAAAUAUCUGCUGCUUUAUCCAGAAUGUAGUCUCUGGUAAUCUAUCUGGCAAAAGCAUGGUGCACAGGAUUUCAUCCAGUGCAAUUUUACCUUUGCUGGAAACAUCAGGUGAUACCUGAAAUAAACGACAUUAAAUUUUCAUUUUGUUAAUUAUAUAGCGAAAAAAAAUAUGGUGACAAGCUGAGAACAAUUCCGAGCAGCUUGUUUUCUUUCCU